AUGCACGCUGCUAUGUUCGGCCUGAACGCCACCAUGUGCUUCGGCGAUGCCGUGGACGCAGGCCUAGUCUGCGCCAUGGCCGACAACAUGGAGGAGCUCAUCUGGUCCCUCGUUGGGGUGCGUGUCUUCGCAGCACUCCCGGCGUUGACCAGCUUAAUCUACCGCGAACGGUGGAACAAGCUGCUCGCGCUCAGGCGGCAGCAGGAGGAGCUGUACCUCCCGCUCAUCAAUGCGCGACGCGGCCGGCGGCGUCGACCGUCCGGCGAAGCCCCAGCAUAUGUGGACACACUCAUCGACCUCCUGGUCGCAGACGAAAGCUACUCCGCCUACGGUAGGAAUGCUCCCAGUCGCAAGCAAACGCUAACGGACGGUGAGCUCGUGGGGCUCUGCUCCGAGUUUCUUGGCGCCGGCACGGAGCCCCCGACCGCGGAGCUGCAGUGGAUCAUGGCGAACUUGGUGAAGCAUCUAAACGUCCAGGAGAACGUCCGGAGAGAGAUCGAGGCUGUCGUUGGGGUGGACGCGAAGGAGGUCGGCGAGGAAGACCUUGGUAGGCUGGAGUACCUCAAUGCUGUCCUCAUGGAGGCGCUCCGUCUGCACCCCAGCGUGCCCACUGUGGUUAGGCAGGUGAUGCCUGAGGACCACGUCGUUUUGGAUGGCCAGCGCGUCACGGCGGGGACGAUCGUGCAGUUCCAGUUGGAGGGUCUGGGGCGGGACAAGACGUCGUGGGCUGACCCAGAUGAGUUUCAGCCGGAGCGGUUCCUGGCUAGCGGCGGGGGCAACGGCGUGAGCCUUGUGGCGGCUGCAGGAAGCGCCGGAGAAAUUAGGAUGAUGCCGUUUGGUGCGGGCAGGAGGAUGUGCCCUGGCAUGGGUGUCGCGAUGCUUCACCUGGGGUACUUCGUUGCAAACCUCGUGAGGGAGUUUGAGUGGACGGAGGUGGAAGGCGACAUGGCUGUCGACCUCGAGCCACAUGUCGAGUUCUUGAACUUCAUGAAACGGCCACUGCGUGCUAAGCUCACGCCACGUAAUAAGGGGGUUGGAACUUUAGGAGCCUUUUCAGACCGAUGA
rnacentral:rRNA from 1 species